ensembl:misc_RNA
CUUAAUCUUCUUUUCUAGUGGGGACUGGGAACCCACUGCGAUCCGAGGGUCGCAGGUGCUUUUGGCCCACACCAAU